GUACAUUUUCUAUUUAUUCCUUGAAAGACCUCCCAAGAAAUAACAGAAAUCAUGAAAUAUCAGUUCUUACAAAUAAAAUAGCUCAAAACAAGAAAUUCAUGAAAAAUUAUGCCUGUGGAUACUAAUGGUAUACCAAGGGUUAAGAGAAUUAUCCUUGAGAUCAUAGGAUUUAACUAACUUCAAUUCACAAAUGAGAACACUUUGGUAAAAUAUCUGGUUUAAGUUUUAAGUAUCGUACAAUAAUAUCAUUACCUUGAAUUAGUGGUCACCUGUUGAUAUGUUUCUCUUUCAUUAACUUAAGGACUUGAAAUAUAGUUGACCUGCAUAUUAAAAAAAAAAUUUUUUUUUUUGAGGCGGAGUCUCACUCUGUUGCCCAGGCUGGAGUGCAAUGACACGAUCUUGGCUCACUGCAACCUCCGCCUCCUGGGUUCAAGUGAUUCUCCCACCUCAGCCUCCCGAGUAGCUGGGAUUACAGGCACCCACCAUCAUGCUCGGCUAAUUUUGGCCAAGCAUGUUGGCCAGGCUUGUCUUGAACUCCUUUCCUCACAUGAUCCGCCCCACCUUGGCCUCCCAAAGUUCUGGGAUUACAGGCAUGAGCCACCAUGCUCGGCCCUACAUAGCAAUAAUAAUAACUACUGUUAAUAAGUCCUUAUUGUGUACCAGGAAUCUUAGCUAAACCUUCAUUUAAUCCUUGAAUUUUCUCCAUUUUAUACAAGGAAGAAACUAGAAGGCACCAAGAGAUUGAGGAACUCACUUGCGUUCACAUAGCUAAAAAAAAUUGAGCUGGGAUUUGACCUUGGGUCUUUCUGAUUUCCAAGCUCAUGCUUUUUCCACCUUUAUUUAUUGUCCUGACAAAACAUAUGGUAAGACCACAUUUGUACAGCAUCCUUAGGGAAUAAGAUAAGUGAAUUUUUCAGGCAACAGACCCUUAACUAAUUGAAUGUCACACAUUUGCAUUUUUUAAAUGCAGUAUAAUUUAUUUUCUAAAUAAUUUCUGAUUUAUUUAAACAUUUAACUAUUUGGUUUUAUGUUUUUAAAAAUUCUAUAAUCAACUUCACAUUUUUUGGGGAAUUAGAUGAGCUUUAAAUUAUAACAGUAGCUCUUACUAUUUUUGAACCUUAGACCUCUUAGAAAAUCUAAUUGUCUCCUUAAGAAAAAAAUGCAUGUCUAUGAAAUUUUACUUAUAAUUUUGUAAGUUCAUGUGAGCUUGGUUAAGAGUUCUUGACUUAAAACAACAAGUGUGCGCCUCCCGUCGCCCAAGAUGCCGAAAGGAAAGGAGGCCAAGGGGAAGAAGUUGGCUCUGGCCCCUGCUUUUGUGAAGAAGCAGGAGGCCAAGAAAGUGGUGAAUCCCCUGUUUGAGAAAAGGCCUAAGAAUUUUGGCAUUGGACAGGACAUCCAGCCCAAAAGAGACCUCACCUGCUUUGUGAAAUGGCCCCGCUAUAUCAGGUUGCAAUGGCAGAGAUCCAUACUCUAUAAGCAGCUGAAAGUGCCUCCUGCGAUUAACCAGUUCACCCAGGCCCUGGAAGGCCAAACAGCUACUCAGCUGCUUAAGCUGGCCCACAAAUACAGACCAGAGACAAAGCAAGAGAAGAAGUGGAGGCUGUUGGCCCAGGCAGAGUUGUGGGCAAAGGGGACCUCCCCAUGAAGAGACUACCUGUCUUUCGAGCAGGAGUUAACACCGUCACCACCUUUGUGGAUAACAAGAAAGCUCCGCUGGUGGUGACUACACACGACAUGGAUCCCAUUGAGCUGACUGUUUUCCUGCCUGUCCUGUGUCAUAAAAUGGGGGCCACUUGCUGCAUUAUCAAGGGGAAGGCAAGACUGGGAUGUCUAGUUCACAGGAAGACCUACACCACUGUCGACUUCACACAGGUUAACUCAGAAGACAAAGGAGCUUUGGCUAAGCUGGUGGAAGCUAUCGGGACCAAUUACAAUGCCAGAUACGAUGAGACCCACUGUCACUGGGACGGCAAUGUCCUGGGUCCCAAGUCUGUGGCUCACAUUGCCAAGCUCGAAAAGGCAAAGGCUAAAGAACUUGCCACUAAACUGGGUUAAAUGUACACUGUUGUGUUUUCUGUACAUAAAAAUAAUUAAAAUAAUUAAAAAAUAAAAAAAACAAGUGCUUUGUGGAUAGUCUUUUCAAAGGUUUAUCACAUAUUUGAUAAGGAGUAUAUUAAAUAUAAUUUGACUUCAGACUCACGUCUCUGGGCAUAACGUAGUUAACCAUGCUAUAGUACAGAUUUUUUUUUCUUUAAGAGACAGGG
rnacentral:lncRNA from 1 species